rnacentral:rRNA from 1 species
UUUUUUGCAUAUCAAUAAGCGGAGGAAAAGAAACCAACAGGGAUUGCCCUAGUAACGGCGAGUGAAGCGGCAACAGCUCAAAUUUGAAAUCUGGCCUCUUUUGGGGUCCGAGUUGUAAUUUGCAGAGGGCGCUUUGGAGUCGGCAGCGGUCCAAGUUCCUUGGAACAGGACGUCACAGAGGGUGAGAAUCCCGUACGUGGUCGCUAGCCUUCUCCGUGUAAAGCCCCUUCGACGAGUCGAGUUGUUUGGGAAUGCAGCUCUAAAUGGGAGGUAAAUUUCUUCUAAAGCUAAAUAUUGGCCAGAGACCGAUAGCGCACAAGUAGAGUGAUCGAAAGAUGAAAAGCACUUUGGAAAGAGAGUCAAAAAGCACGUGAAAUUGUUGAAAGGGAAGCGCUUGCAGCCAGACUUGCCUGUAGUUGCUCAUCCGGGCUUUUGCCCGGUGCACUCUUCUAUAGGCAGGCCAGCAUCAGUUUGGGCGGUUGGAUAAAGGUCUCUGUCAUGUACCUCUCUUCGGGGAGAACUUAUAGGGGAGACGCCAUGCAACCAGCUCAGACUGAGGUCCGCGCAUCGCUAGGAUGCUGGCGAAGAAAGCCGGAGU